rnacentral:rRNA from 1 species
CCUACGGGUGGCAGCAGUGGGGAAUCUUCCGCAAUGGGCGAAAGCCUGACGGAGCAACGCCGCGUGAUCGAAUGAAGGCCUUCGGGUUGUAAAGAUCUGUUGACAGGGACGAAUAAGCAAUGCGAAUAGUUUUGUGUAUGACGGUACCUGUUUAGAAAGCUCCGGCUAACUACGGGCCAGCAGCCGCGGUAAUACGUAGGGAGCAAGCGUUGUCCGGAAUUACUGGGCGUAAAGAGCGCGUAGGUGGGCGCUUAAGUCAGGUUUAAAAUCGCCGGGCUAAACCUGGAGACUGAACUGGAAACUGGGUGUCUUGAGGGCAGGAGAGGAAAGUGGAAUUCCAGGGGUAGCGGUGAACUGCGUAGAUAUUAGGAGGAACACCAGGGGCGAAGG